rnacentral:lncRNA from 1 species
UGAAAAAUGUAAAUACAUAACGUUUACAUGCGUAAACAGACUAAAAACUUACACCGCUUUUGCAGACGCUCAAACCGGAACUGUAUGAUGCACUCGAUAUUAUCUCUUUUUAUAAAAUAUACAAUCCUUGGCGCGUACGAGGUUUCAAUACUCAUCUUACAGAAAGAGACAAGUCAGAACGCAAGGAAAGGCCAAAUACAAAUCAGAAAUCAGGUUGAAAAGAAAUACAAUUUAUUAUGAUACUAAAUAAAUGUUAUAUUAGACUGCAAGUUAUAUCUCUUUUCCAAGCUUCGGCUUAAACUGCUCUAUUAUAUAAGUACACUGAAUGGACGCUAUGAUCCCAUAGGACCAGAAAAUAUAACUACACGUGCCGUAGAUUAUUCAAAUUGAUAAUAGGACUAAAGGUUUUAUUUUGUUCUGAUACCACUAGUACCUGUGUUGUUUCUCACACCUACUGGCCUCACACCUCCUGGCCAAAAUUUUGAAAUUCUAUAUAAUCUAAUAGAUUGAGCCUUUAGCCUACAUAAAGUUAACUAAUAUAACGAUGCGGUUUGGUAAAUCUGUUACUACUUUAAUUCUAGUUAAUUGUUUAAAACAAUUUACUCUAAACGAGUCAAUAAAAAUAACUGAGACUAUAACAUAAAACACUUUGUACUAAUUCGUGAAACAUUAAAAUAUGAAAGUAACAUAAGUAUGUAAUCUGUAAUUAUACAUUGAAUAUUAAUUUAAUUUUUGGAACAAAGAAAGUUUGUUGUUAUUCUGAAUUUUUCAUCAUUAUUUUUACAGUGAAAAAUGAAUACUUGUCAUACAUAGAAGUAUACUUAUCAAAUAAUCAAUACAUGAGAGAAACGCCUCGGUCUUUUGACAUAUAAUACAUUAACGAAUUAUGAUAUAAAGUUUGAUACACAUAUUUCAGGCACGUUGAAGAUAUAGAUAUAUUUGCUGGUGGCCUAUCGGAGACUCCACUUCCCGGUGGACUUGUUGGACCACUUUUCAAUUAUAUAAUAGGACUGCAAUUUCAAGAUCUCAAAUUUGGAGAUAGAUUUUACCAUGAAAAUGAUGGAAGGACAGGAUUUACUCUCAAUCAAAUUAAUACUCGUAAAAAGAUAACCCUCAGCAAACUGAUCUGUCUGCAUUUUAACCAGACGCAAGUCCAAGAAGACCCUUUUCGUAGACCAGGAGGACGUCAGUUUCUUUAUAGCGUUUGUCGUGGGUGGCUCACAGUGACUUGUUUGGCUCUUGUAUUUUACGCGCUAAAUGUUUCUAUGGAUUCUGAUUCUACUUGUUCUUUUUUAUUGCCUUUGUAGAGACUUCCGUAACUGGUCAUGUUAUAAACUGAUUUUUUUAAAUAAGUCAAGGCAAUUAUCAGAAACGUUUUAUGUUCAGACCUUUUACAGUUAGACGCUAUGCAUUUUUGUUUGAUAUUAUCUGACGGAACAGUUAGGAAACUGUAUGAUAAGCAGUCUAAAAGCACACUAGGACUGGGCUGCUGAUAAUUGUCUGCUGUUCUGUUUAAAUACAUAUAUGAUUGUUUAGAUUGUAGAGAGGUUGUGUUACCUGAUACAAAGGUAGUAUGUUUAUUUUCCUUUACAGAAAUCAACUGAAAGACUGUAAGGAUUUCGACGACAUCGAUUUUGAACAGUGGAGGAUGUAGGUUAUGAUGGUUGACACGAACCCACAAAGGAAUACUUCACAGUUUAGAACUGGCAGUUGUUUUGCAAGUUCUACACUUAGAGUGAAGAAAAUAACAUUUUUAUGUAUAUACAGCUGGACAAAAAUAGCCUUGCUUAAUGUACGAUGAUAGCCUGUGUUUAGUCUUCAUUUCUGUAAAUUAUCUUACCUAGACAUUUGUUCAGUCUUCAGCAAACGUACUUGUGGGAAGGCACUUCAGAAAAUAAUACUUAUUCUGUUUUCAUGCAUAUCAUCUAUUUAAUUCUAAUAUGCUUGUCUCUGUUAAAACACUCUGUGCUAGAAUGACGUCACGUUAACGUGCGGUGACGUCAAAGUUUUCGUUGCGACC